rnacentral:rRNA from 1 species
UACGUAGGGGGCAAGCGUUGUCCGGAAUUAUUGGGCGUAAAGCGUGUGUAGGCGGGCCCGUAAGUGUCUUGUGAAAUCCCACGGCUCAACCGUGGAACUGCUGGGCAUACUGCGGGUCUUGGGCCAACUAGGGGCAGCCGGAACAAGCGGUGGAGCGGUGAAAUGCGUAGAUAUCGCUUGGAACGCCGAAGGUGAAAACAGGCUGCUGGGGUUGCGCCGACGCUGAGACACGAAAGCCAGGGGAGCAAACGGG